CCUACGGGCGGCAGCAGUGAGGAAUAUUGGUCAAUGGACGAGAGUCUGAACCAGCCAAGUAGCGUGAAGGAUGACUGCCCUAUGGGUUGUAAACUUCUUUUAUAUGGGAAUAAAAUGUUCCACGUGUGGGAUUUUGUAUGUACCAUAUGUAUAAGGAUCGGCUAACUCCGUGCCAGCAGCCGCGGUAAUACGGAGGAUCCGAGCGUUAUCCGGAUUUAUUGGGGUUAAAGGGAGCGUAGGUGGAUUGUUAAGUCAGUUGUGAAAGUUUGUGGCUCAACCGUAAAAUUGCAGUUGAAACUGGCAGUCUUGAGUACAGUAGAGGUGGGCGGAAUUCGUGGUGUAGCGGUGAAAUGCUUAGAUAUCACGAAGAACUCCGAUUGCGAAGGCAGUUCACUGGACUGCAACUGACACUGAGGCUCGAAAGUGUGGGUAUCAAACAGGAUUAGAUACCCCAGUAGUC
rnacentral:rRNA from 1 species